rnacentral:rRNA from 1 species
AUUGAACGCUGGCGGCAUGCCUUACACAUGCAAGUCGAACGGCAGCACGGGGCAACCUGGUGGCGAGUGGCGAACGGGUGAGUAAUGCAUCGGAACGUACCUUUCAGUGGGGGAUAACGUAGCGAAAGUUACGCUAAUACCGCAUAUUCUGUGAGCAGGAAAGCAGGGGAUCGCAAGACCUUGCGCUGAUUGAGCGGCCGAUGUCAGAUUAGCUAGUUGGUGAGGUAAAGGCUCACCAAGGCGACGAUCUGUAGCGGGUCUGUGAGGAUGAUCCGCCACACUGGAACUGAGACACGGUCCAGACUCCUACGGGAGGCAGCAGUGGGGAAUUUUGGACAAUGGGCGCAAGCCUGAUCCAGCCAUGCCGCGUGCGGGAAGAAGGCCUUCGGGUUGUAAACCGCUUUUGUCAGGGAAGAAAUGACCUGGGCUAAUACCCCGGGGCGAUGACGGUACCUGAAGAAUAAGCACCGGCUAACUACGUGCCAGCCGCCGCCGUAAGAC